AUGACGCUCAAUCAGAAGAAGUACGCACUGGAUCUUCUUCAUCGUGCACACAUGGAGAAUUGCAAGCCUGUGUCAACACCUAUGUCAAUACAGGACAAGUUGUCGGUUCAAACCGGCACCGCUCUCUCGGCUGAUGAUGCCUUCGCCUAUCGCAGUACCGUUGGCGGCCUUCAGUACCUCACCUUGACGCGUCCAGAUCUUUCAUUUGCUGUGAACAAGGUCUGUCAAUUCUUGGCUGCACCAACUGAUGUCCAUUGGGAAGCUGUCAAGCAAAUUCUUCGGUAUGUGAAAGGCACCGUGAACACCGGGCUGCGUAUUCGCAAGGCUUCUUCCACUUUGCUCAGCAUCUUCACGGAUGCGGACUGGGCUGGUUGUAUCGAUGACCGGCGGUCGACGGGCGGCUAUGCCAUCUUCUUUGGCCCAAACCUCAUCUCCUGGAGUGCUCGCAAACAGCCUACGGUCUCGAGGUCAUCAACUGAAGCUGAGUACAAAGCACUAGCUAAUGGUACUACUGAGGCAAUAUGGGUUCAGUCAUUGCUCAAAGAGUUGAAUAUAACUCAGCCGCGUGCACCGGUUCUGUGGUGUGACAACCUGGGUGCCACUUACUUGACUGCGAAUCCUAUUCCAUGCAAGGACCAAGCACAUUGA
rnacentral:rRNA from 1 species